rnacentral:rRNA from 1 species
UUAUAUUUGAGUUUGAUGAUGGCUCUGAUUGAACGCUAUGCAAAUGCUUGACACAUGCUAAUCGAACGUCAAUAUUUAAUUUGUUAAAAUUAUGUAUAUUGAAGUGGUGUACAGGUGAGUAAGUGGUGUUAUGGCUACCUAAGAGUAAGGCAAAAUAAAUCCCUUAUACUAACUAUUUGUUUUUAUAUAUUAAUACUAAAUCUAACCACCACCACCCCACCCUGCUAAAUUGAAGGUUAGGUUAAUAGGUUAAUAGAUAAUAAUAUAAUAUGUUUUUGAAAGAAAAAGUAUUUCGCUCUUAGUUGAUUAUUAAUAACCAUCGGAUAAGUAGUAGGUAUGGUAAUGUCAUAGUUAGCUUAUGUCCGUAGCCAUGACUGAGAGGUCUAUUGGCCACACUGGGUCUGAAAAAACCCCAGUGCGUAUAGUACAGCAGUGAGGGAUUUUGGUCAAUGGCCUAACGGCUGAACCAGCAACUUGCAGGAAUGAGAGUUAAUAUAAAUGAUUUAUUAACUUGCUUGACUAGGUCUUAUAAAAUUCUGGAUAAAGCUUAUAAUGAAAACUUUAUAUCUAUAGGUCUCGGCCAAAUCUUGUGCCAGCAGCCGCGGUAAGACAAGGGAGACGAGUGUUAGUCAUCUUUAACAGGUAUAUAGGGUACCUAGACGGUGUGCGAAGGCUUAGAAAAGUACCUGCCACACUUGAGUUUGAUAUGGGAGAGGAAAAUGUCAGAAUUAUUGGAGUACAGAUGAAAUCGGCUAAUACUAAUAAGACUGAUAACGGCGAAGGCAAACCUCUAUCUACAAGUACUUAAUCUUACAAUAAAAAAACUUUUGUGAAAAAGGAAAAGGAAAAAUACAAGUAAGAUAUAAAAAGUACUAUAACUGACGUUGAGGGACGAAGGCUCAGAGAGUGAAGAGGAUUAGAUACCCCCGUAGCCUGGGCAGACAAUGAUGAGUGCCAUAGGUUAGCCUUAGGCUGAACUAUAAAUGAAAGUGGAAGCACUCCACCUCAAGAGUAAUGUGGCAACGCAGGAACUGAAAUCAUUAGACCGUUUCUGAAACCAGUAGUGAAGUAUGUUAUUUAAUUCGAUGGUCCUCGAAUAACCUUACCACAAUUUGAAUGAUCUAAAAAAAAAGAGAUUUACUUUUGUAAAUCUAAGGUUUAGACCACAUGCGUUGCAUGGCUGUCUUCAGUUAAUGUCGUGAGAUUUGGUUAGGUCCAUCAAAUUAACGUAAACCCUUGUUUUAUUUAAUAUAAUAAGGCAGCUCUCCGCUUACAAUUGGAUGUGAUAAUAGGGACUAAGACAAGUCAUCAUGGCCUUAAUAUUGUGGGCUAUAGACGUGCCACAUGUACCUUUACAAAGGGAUGCGAUAAUGUGAAUUGGAGCUAAUCCCUAAAACAGGUUAAAGUAUGGAUUGUAGUCUGAAACUCGACUGCAUGAAAAAGGAAUUACUAGUAAUCGUGAGUAAUCACAUCACGGUGAAUCUUAUCUCAGAUAGGUACUAACCACUCGUCAGGCGCUGAAAGGAGUAUGUGCAAUAAGUUUGGUGGCUGUUGUUUGGUAUUCUAAAUUUAUAGGUUUAGAUCUUUUGGCAGAAGAAUCUUCGUAUGCGUGACUCUAAUUGGUGUUAAGUCGAAAUACGGUUCGGGUUGGGGAACUAGCCCGGGAUUAAUAAAGAUU